rnacentral:rRNA from 1 species
AGUUAACGUUGGCGGCGUGCCUAACACAUGCAAGUCGAACGCGUCCUAAGGGCAACUUUAGGAUGAGUGGCGAACGGGUGAGUAUCACGUGGGUAAUCUUCCUUCAAGUGGGGAAUAAGCUCUCGAAAGGGAGUCUAAUACCGCAUGACAUUCCGGGACACAAGUCCCGUAAUCAAAGCCGCAAGGCGCUUGAAGAUGAGCCUGCGUCCUAUUAGCUAGUUGGUGGGGUAACGGCCUACCAAGGCUUAGAUGGGUAGCCGGCCUGAGAGGGUGAACGGCCACACUGGGACUGAGACACGGCCCAGACUCCUACGGGUGGCAGCAGUAGGGAAUAUUGCUUAAUGGGCGAAAGCCUGAAGCAGCAACGCCGCGUGGACGAAGAAGGCCUUCGGGUUGUAAAGUUCUUUUAUAUGGGAUGAGGAAGGACAGUACCAUAUGAAUAAGUCUCGGCUAACUACGUG